rnacentral:misc_RNA from 1 species
GAAAUGCGAUAAGUAAUGUGAAUUGCAGAAUUCAGUGAAUCAUCGAAUCUUUGAACGCACAUUGCGCCCGCCAGUAUUCUGGCGGGCAUGCCUGUCCGAGCGUCAUUUCAACCAUCAAGCCCCGGGCUUGUGUUGGGGACCUGCGUCCGACGCAGGCCCUGAAAACCAGUGGCGGGCUCGCUGUCCACACCGAGCGUAGUAGCUAACCUCGCUAUGGAGUGGCGCGGGCGCCUGCCGUAAAACCCCCCGAUUUUACAAGGUUGACCUCGGAUCAGGUAGGAAUACCCGCUGAACUUAA